CCUACGGGGUGCAGCAGUGAGGAAUAUUGGUCAAUGGUCGGGAGACUGAACCAGCCAAGCCGCGUGAGGGAGGAAGGUACAGAGUAUCGUAAACCUCUUUUGUCAGGGAACAAAGACUGGGACGCGUCCCCGGAUGAGUGUACCUGAAGAAAAAGCAUCGGCUAACUCCGUGCCAACAGCCGCGGUAAUACGGAGGAUGCGAGCGUUAUCCGGUUUUAGUGGGUUUAAGGGGUGCGCAGGCGGUCUGUUAAGUCAGCGGUAAAAGCCCGGGGCUCACCCCCGGCCCGCCGUUGAAACUGGCAGUCGCGAGUUGGAGAGAAGUAUGCGGAAUGCGCGGUGUAGCGGUGAAAUGCAUAGAUAUCGCGCAGAACUCCGAUUGCGAAGGCAGCAUGCCGGCUCCACACUGACGCUGAGGCACGAAAGCGUGGGUAUCGAACAGGAUUAGAUACCCCGGUAGUC
rnacentral:rRNA from 1 species